UGGAUAGGAUGUUUUUUAGAAACAAAUUGUGCUUUGCGGCAAAGGAAAGCAAGAGUGAGAGUGUGCGUGUGUGAGUGAGGACUAAAGACUGAGGAGUCUCUGAUUCAUUGAUGGCGGAAGAAGCAGUUCUGGGAUACCUUGAGAAAAACUCGGAGAUUCGAGACUCGGGCGAGUUCGCAGCUGAACUCGGCAUUGACCACAACGAGAUCGUGAACGUGAUUAAGAGCUUGCACGGUUUCGGAUACGUUGACGCGCAAGACAUCAAGAGGGAAACAUGGGUACUCACUGAUGAGGGCAAAACCUAUUCCAGCGUAGGAUCCCCUGAAGUGCAACUCUUCUUCGCCAUACCCCCAGAGGAGGGUAUCUCCAAACAAGACCUUCAGAAAAAGGUUGAACCUUCUGUCUUCAAGAUAGGUUGUGCUCAGGCUGCGAAGACAAAAUGGGUGGAGAUGGGAAACAGUUAAUUACUAGAAAGGUAGCUGUUAGAAGACAACGCAAGUAUAGUUGCAUUUUUUCUGUGUGUAUUGCAUUGUCCAACAUGUUGAUGAUAAGGUCAAAGAUCUUCUUCUUCAAAUACAACAGGGGCUGCUUCUGGAACUUCGAUGCCUUGUUCCAGCCCCAACAACACCCAGCUCGUGAUUCACAUGAUACAUUUUUUCUGGAAGCUCCUUCAACAACUAAGAUAUUGCCAGAAGAUUAUGUUCUGAGAGUUACGCAAGUUCAUGAAUCUGGUGGUUAUGGGUCUAGAGGAUAUGCAUAUGACUGGAAGAGAGAGGAAGCAAAUAAAAACCUCCUGCGAACCCAUACAACUUCUGUUUCCUCCAGGAUGCUUUACCAACUGGCACAGAAACCAUUUGCCCCAAAAAAAUAUUUCUCUAUAGAUCGGGUAUUCAGAAAUGAAGCAGUUGAUCGGACACAUCUUGCUGAGUUCCACCAGAUAGAAGGUCUUGUAUGCGAUCGUGGACUCACUCUCUGUGAUUUAAUAGGUGUUCUACACGAUUUCUUCUCACGCUUAGGCAUGACCAAGCUGAAGUUCAAACCAGCUUACAAUCCAUACACUGAACCUAGCAUGGAGAUUUUUAGUUACCAUGAAGGUUUUAAAAAAUGGGUAGAGGUAGGAAACUCUGGCAUGUUCAGACCUGAAAUGUUGCAGCCAAUGGGACUUCCUGAAGAUGUCCAAGUUAUUGCGUGGGGCCUUUCCCUUGAGAGGCCAACGAUGAUACUGUAUGGGAUAGAUAGCAUCAGAGAUCUCUUUGGACACAAGGUAGAUCUUGGGCUUAUAAAGAAAAAUCCAAUGUGUCGUCUUGGAAUUGACUAAAAUGAUUCACACUUGUGUCUUGUAUUUUAUCAUUUAUAAAUAAAUUAUAAUUUCUUUUGCCUCUUAAGAUCAAACACUAUCUGUAGUUUAUUAGUUCAAUUUUCUAUAUGAAGAAUUACGGGAGAAAAAGUUACGCCCUUGUGAUUAUUUUUCUUAUGUUCUGAAAAAUUUGACGGGAAAGUUAGCAAAUUUCAAUUUCUUGUGGUUU